rnacentral:rRNA from 1 species
UACGGAGGGUGCGAGCGUUGUCCGGAAUCAUUGGGCGUAAAGGGCGCGUAGGUGGCCCAGUCAGCGUGCGGUGAAAGCUCGGGGCUCAACCCCGGGUCGGCCGUGCGAACUACUGGGCUGGAGCACUGUAGAGGCAGGCGGAAUUCCGGGUGUGGCGGUGGAAUGCGUAGAGAUCCGGAAGAACACCGGUGGCGAAGGCGGCCUGCUGGGCAGUUGCUGACACUGAGGCGCGACAGCGUGGGGAGCAAACAGG